GACGAACGCUGGCGGCGUGCUUAACACAUGCAAGUCGAACGGAGAGGCCCUGCUUUUGUGGGGUGCUCGAGUGGCGAACGGGUGAGUAACACGUGAGUAACCUGCCCUUGACUUUGGGAUAACUUCAGGAAACUGGGGCUAAUACCGGAUAGGAGCUCCUGCUGCAUGGUGGGGGUUGGAAAGUUUCGGCGGUUGGGGAUGGACUCGCGGCUUAUCAGCUUGUUGGUGGGGUAGUGGCUUACCAAGGCUUUGACGGGUAGCCGGCCUGAGAGGGUGACCGGCCACAUUGGGACUGAGAUGCGGCCCAGACUCCUACGGGAGGCAGCAGUGGGGAAUAUUGCACAAUGGGCGGAAGCCUGAUGCAGCAACGCCGCGUGCGGGAUGACGGCCUUCGGGUUGUAAACCGCUUUCGCCUGUGACGAAGCGUGAGUGACGGUAAUGGGUAAAGAAGCACCGGCUAACUACGUG
rnacentral:rRNA from 1 species